GGCACCGAGCGACGCGAUCCCGGGCGCGGGGGGCUGCGGAGCUCCGCGGGGCCGGGCGGAGGCGGACGCGCCGCGGGCAGAGUCCGGCCGGGGCUGUCAGCCCCCGGCAGUGCCCCGGGGGGACCCGCCACAUCCAGCGCAGCGGCCGCGGGCUCCGGCCGGAACGCCAAACGGAGCCGCGAAUUGCCCGGAGCUCCCGAGUGCCGUAACCCCUCCGCGGGGCCGUGGCCCGGGCCUGCACCCCGGGGAGCGCGGUCCGAGGGGCCGUGAAGAAGGCAGGGAGCAGGAGAGGGUUAAGGGCUUCCAGAGGGGCCAGGUGGGAAGGGACACGCGGAGCUGCGCUGUCGCUGCGCGGUGGGAACGCUGGGCGUGGAUCGGCCAGGGCCUGACCAAAAGUGCGUGGAAGUCCCUGGAAAGGUUCCCACUUUCUCCUGGAGACUUGGAGUCGGGCCCUGAGGGAGCAAACAAGUGCUGCACUUCUCUGUGCUGGGAGGGAAGCUCGCAGCACCGGGAUGAGGGGAGUCCCUUCCGAGCGAGCAGAGGCACCAGCUGUUGCCCAGAAAUCCCAGGCGCGAUCCCUGGGAAGGUGCUGCAUCACUGCAAAGUGAAGUGACUGCAGAACUGGGAAAGCACCCUUGUUUCCAUCAAGAUGAGGAAGCAAUCUCUAUUCUUUGUUUGUGAAAACUGCACUCUCGUACCUUUUCUAGCGCUCCAGGACAUCCCACUGCUGUUAGAAAGUUAUUUAGAAGAGCUGGUUCUCUCUGGGUGUCACAGGGAGCACAGCAUAUUCCUGGCAGUUGGAAGCUUAAGGAUCUGCCUCUAGGGCAGAAAGCAAACCUUACCCGUAUUGAACAGAGCAGGACUUCCCAAAAGCCAGUCGAGUGCACUGGAACAAAGUUAAUAUAUAAUUAAUAGCCAAAACGUGUUGUUACGCAUUUUAGUACAGUUCGUGUUGAUACUGUUCAAAAUGCUGGUCAUGGUUCUGCAGAAACUAUUUCCUCAGUAACAGAAAAAUACAGUUUUUAAUUUUUAAAAUUGUGUCUGGCUCCAGAAGCCUGAAAUUUUCUAAGCAAGCAGCCAUGAAAUAUAAAGACCAGAAUUAUGUGCUUGGAUAAGCUACAUUUCUCAUAUUAAAUUCCUUUCACAUGUAAAAGGCUUUUAAAUGCUUGCGGUCUAAUUCUUUGGUGGUUUUUGUUUUUGUUUUUUGCUUAACUGCUGGCUUGGGAUGUUAGUUUUGGAAUCACGUGGUGGUUGUCAACAAUAACAUAAAAAAAAAUGUUCAAAUUGUCCCUUUCAACUAGCCACUGAGUUAAAAUUAUCCCUUUAUGUAGGAAAGUUCCUCUCACAGAAGUCUGUUCAUUUUUCAAAUGAUGUUAUUUAGAUAAGGUUAAAGUAUGGCUGUCUUCAGUGUUUAUUGUGCACUGAGCUUUCCAAAUAGGUAGAAUGACCUGAGAAAAAAGCUAUCUCACCCCAGAGAUCAGUACUAAACAUGACAUACAGACGUUCCAGUAAAGAACACAUAGAAAAGGAAAGCAGAUUCCAGAAUUCCUACCAGACUGGGAGGUUCCCAGGCCUCAACAAACUCUGCUCACAUUUUAUUUUUAACAUGGAGAUCUAUUCCAGAAUGACAGAAAAGACCAAAAUGUUACUGUAACCUUUAAAAAAAAGCAUCCAGAUCACAGGGAGAAGUUUUUAGCUGCUUCAAACCCAGGUGCUGAGGACCAGGAGUUGCCAGAGGUGAGACAGCAUCCUGCAGUGCCAUCCCCAGGCCAUUUAAUGCUGUUAAAGAAUUACAAGCUCCAUAACAGCAGCUUCGAGAUGAGUUUGUGGAGUUGCUGAUUUUCCUUAUUUGUUCUCUCCCUCGGCAGGAACAGCAACUCAGUUUUCCUAAACUCUGCUGAAUAUACAUGGCCACAAACCUGGCCUGUUUAAAGUGCCUUGCAGCUGCCAAGUGCAAUGAGGCCUCUACCCCACCAGCCCAAACUCUUUUCCUUUCUCCUCCUCUCCCCACCAUUCUCACAGCUUUCCAGAGCUCCUUCCCAGACUGCUGCCAGGUUCCAACACCUGCCUGUGUAAUCUCUGUUGUUCCCUUAAUGCAAGUGUUAAAUGGUGCCAGCAGUUCCACCAUGCCCAGAGCCCUUUUUUUCAUCACCAGGCCCCACUGUUUGCUUGUAACAACCCAAAGAUGCUCCCUCAUGGGAUCUGUUUGGUGUUCUGCAAAAGGGAGUAGGGAGCAGUGUAUAGUGAAGAGCUAUUAUUACUAUUUAUAAGUUUGACUUGUAUUUGUGGUCUAUAUCCUUUCUACUGCCUAGAGCUGCAGGUUCUUGCUCUCGUCUGUCUAGCUUUUAACUGUGAGAAAAAAAAUUCUCGGUAUAUUUGUUCGGGUUUUUUUAAGAGAGACAUUUCUUCACUGUGCCAUAAUAUUUUGUAGAUUGGUAUUUCCUAGGGAAGAAGAAUGUUCUGAAGUAAGACACCAGCAGCAGUUCAAAAUUCAACUCUGUGAGAACAACUCGAUAGUCUCUCUUAUUGGAAGUAAUGUUGACACAAUGAAAUCUGCAUAAUCUAUGUUCCUCUAGCAGCUAGAAGCAACAAACAAGAAAUUUAAAGGUUGGACUUCAUGAUCUUGCAGGUCUUUUCCAACCUUAAUGAUUCUGUGAAUCUAUAUUUAUUAGUUCCAUUGGUUACUGAAAGUGGAGGUGAGCUCUGAGGUCUGCAGUCCUCUGUGUGAUUCAUUUUGAAAGUGGAAUCCAAGUAGUCAUGCCCAAAUUUAAACUGAAAGCUGAAGGUUUGGAAGAAGAGAGAUUUAAUCCACAGUUCUUUCCUUAGACCUUGAUGAAUAUGAGAGUGAUUCUACAACCACAGAAUUUUCUUCCCCUCAUGCCAGUUCUUCUAAAGACACCUUUUAACUAAAAUAUUUAUUUUCGCAGUGAUCAGUAGUAGCUUUUGGAUCAGGUCCCAUUCCAGGGUGCUGCUGUGAAUUUUGCUGUUCUCCAGUCUCUGAAUACUCUGGGCUCCCAGGACACUGUCAGAAGAGCCGUUUUGGGAACCAGAAGACAGGUUCCCAAACAGGCAAAACAAGGAGCUGGCAAAACCAGACAACCUCUUCCCAAUAUUUCACACUGUAGGUGCCCUAGUGCUAUAGAAAGCCCAGCUGCUGAGGGCUUGGCUGGGGAUGGUGGCAUUUUGUGGGUACCUUCCCAACAGCAAGGAUCACUGCUCCUCAUCUCCUUUCAUCCCCUUGCUCUCCACGCUGGCAGUGGGAACAGGCCCUAGCUCUCCAUCCUAUCGCUACUCCUUCUCCCACCUUUUCCCUGUCUUGAGAAUUUUCUGUGCCUCAAUUCCCUGCAGCUGACAAACUGAACUGACCCUUAUCCAUCUGAGAACAAACUCCUUUUCUCUGGCAACACUAAGGAACACCACCCAUUUUUUAACGCUCCUUCCUUCUUUUUCUGUUCUCCUUGCUGUUCUGAGCUCAGGCUUGACCUCUGCUUGUCUCACUCACCAGUCAGUCUCCCUUUCUUUACCUGAAUCCCAGCCAGAUUUUCUGGGCAGCUUUCAAGAAAUGUGGCUGUAACUGAAGAUCAAAAAUGAAGUAAUUGUGAUUGCACAACUGGGGUGAGGAAUGACUUUCUGGAUGCGAACACUAAGCGGCCACUGCUUAGGAGUAGAACCUUUUAAUCUCUGUCCACUGGUUCAAGUUUUCUGUCUUUUCUUCCAAAACAGUUCAGACAGAACUGAGCAUCACUUUAACUCCAUAGACUUGGUCUCCUGACCCAACCACAGAAAUAAGUGUAUCUAAUGAAAAAGCAAACCAGUUCACUCAAGAAAUAUAAUCUGCUCCUGUGACCUUUCUGCAUUAAAAGUUUCCAUUAAGUUCUGUGGCAUUCACCCAUCCCAGAUUCCCCCAGGUAAAAGGAAAGCAAACAAAUGCUUUGAGCAAAUGCUUUGUUUGUAGUAACGUGGCAGGAUCAAUCACUACCAACCACAAUGAUGCAGAGGUUUUUUUUGUAGGCUUUGUGUUGGUCAGAUAAAAUCCUAUAUAAAUUUUCUUGAGUCAGUUCUGUUGACUCACUGUGGCAAUUGCAGCAUGUCCUUCAACCAGGAUAUUUAAAGAAGUGCUAGAAGGAGUGAUGCAAUGAUGCAUCUUCUUAAUACUGCCUUGUAAAAGUCAAGUGUUCAUUGCUUUAUUUAAAGAAAAACAUUUCAUUUUAGAAAUGUGUUUCAUUUCAGUAAUGUGUGAGUUAAACCUCAAAGUCCAGUUUAAAGUUUCUCCAAGUGAAGUGGGCUUUGGUCUGGGAUUUGUUCUGUGGAAUAAAGAGGUGUGUGUCAGAACUGAGAUUUUUAGUUUAGAUCAUGGUGCUGAGACCUCAGGUUUUGUUUCAGGCUUGUCCCUGUAGUUCUUUUUGCCUUUCUGAGGAUGUGUAACUUAUGAAAUCACAUUUUAGAUGUGCUAAUAUUUUUUGCUAAGUCCACUGAUGAGAUUUAGUUAUCCUUGUCAGAGACACAAAAGCUUUGGUUCUGUCAAGUUGUUACACAUUUUUGAGGCCUUUACAGUAAGCUAGGUCUUCAUCACCAAGAAGGGAUGCUGCCCCCAAAGCUUUCCUGACAUGAAUUAAGGGGUAGUGUGAUGCUCUGGCUCCUGCAGAUGUUGGAGAAUUCAGACAUUAGACACAAAACCUGAGUUCCUGAGCUCCACCACUCAUGCUUGAGUCUGUCACAGUCUCCCAACUUUGGGGCAGGAAGCUUGGGGCAGAACUCUCUCUGUUCUCCCUGGGCAGAUUGCUGGCACCUGACACACCAUAUGCUAUUUUUAUUCAAAAUAAAUAGCAGGGAUGAGCUCCCCCCCUGCCUUCCCGUUCCAUCUGCUGCUGAUAUCCUUCCCAGUAAGACAGAGCUUCCAGUCUCAACUUUAUUAAAGAAAGGGACUAUAGACUUGUUCCAGAUAAAUACUCAGUUUUUGUUGGAAGUGUCCCCAGACAGAGAAGGCACUGUCUGACCAGUCACCACUUAGCAGAAUUCUGUCAUCUGCCAGCCAUAAUCUACAAUUAAAACUGAAAUAUUUUGAUAUAUAUUCCCCAACACAGAGAAAAUAGUGUCUUAAGGGAGCUGAAGAGCAGAAGGAGGCGUGGUUGCGCCUUAUUUGUUCAACAUUGGUGAGUCAUUUAAUCUGAAUUUCUAGGCAUUUUAAGAGUUUUGCUUCAAAGGUCUAUUGUGUGGCUUCUGGCAACAAAUGAAAUACCAGUGAGGUUUGGUUCUUCAUUUAGAAUUAAUUUUAAAACAUCACUCACUAUAUAAGACCUAAUUGAAAGCCUAUGGUCACUUGUCGGUUGGAAGAAUUCCCAACGAUUUCACUGGGCUUUGGAUGAGGGUCUCAACCCGCAAAAAUGUUUAUUUUUCUUCUUUGUAUUUAAUCUUGGAUGGGAAGACAAGUUAUUCUUUCAGAAUAAUUUUGCAGGUUUUUUUAGUUUUUAUUUCUUCAGGCUAGAACUGAGUUGAGUGCAAAGAAAUGUGUUUGUAAAGAAAAUCAUCAAGCACUGAGAGUGAAGUGAGGGCUGUAUUUUUGCUUUUCUAGCUUGGACUUACUGUACUAUAAACCAUCAGAACACUGCAAAUCUAUGAGGUGCCAGAUUUCUGAUUUUUUUUUCUGAUUUUUUCCGAUUUUUCCUAAUUUUUUUCUGAUUUUCUGUUUUAUUUCUGAAUGUCAAAUAUAAGUGGGGAUACAAAAAAAAAAACCCCAGAGCUUUAGUCAGAGUUCUGUUUGCAAAACGAAACCUGUGCUUUGUUUUCUGAGCUGGCAACAAACAGCCCCCUGGCUCUCUUGGGGAACAUGAACAUGGAGGUUCAUGAUCAUAAAUCUGAGUUUUCAGACAAACAUUUUCCUCUAGCUCCUGAGGUUCUCCUACUUGCAGUCUUUGGGAAUAUUACAAGGUUUUUGGGCAUAAAGAGCCUCUCAUUCUGGCUCCAGAAAGUGUUGCUGCCCACAGAGCCUUUCUCUUGUGAUUUCUGGUUAAUAGCACUUAGAAGAGGCUGCUCUGUCUCCAGUUAAAAGGAGGAUUUUUGGCAAGGGCAGAAAAGAGCCUGAAAGUCUCCCUUAACCCAUGCCUCUUGUCAGCUUCUUUAGAUGGGAUGGAGAAAAUCUUCCUUUUCUAUUGGAGUACUUCCAUACUAGGUCCCAGGACGAGUGUCUGCCCUUCUGGCUUCAUGGAAUAGCUGAGAGAAGUGUAACUGAUUGUAGAGUGGAGUUUACUACAGACCUAAGAUUUUGGGGAUCAAGAACAGUUUGCCUCUUCCUGACACAAGAAGGAAAUAAAAACAGAAAGCAAGUGAGAUAACCAGGAGUGCAUAGAGAUUUCUCCAAUUUCCUCAGAAAGCCAUUGGGAUCCAAUAAAACAGGCAUCACUCCUAGGAGACAACACAGGGAAUGUGAAAAGGUAGAUCUGAAGGGCAGAGAACACCUGUGGGUGGGGGUGAGAAACAGAAGAGGCAUGUGGUGUCUAAGUGCAGGAUUCAUGGGCUUUCCCAUUCUGCAGAAAUGUAACUCACCUAACUGCAAGUCUGAGCUGAGUGGCAGAGAGGAAGAGGUUGUGUGUCUCCUGGAGAAACUGGGACCAAAACGUUACGGACUUAAUCCUUCAUCUGUCAGUAAGGCCUGCAGAAACAAACUGCUCCACUGGCAUCAGGCUGAUGGCUCUCCAGGAUAACCAUCCUGUCUCUCCAGCUGCCAAUUCACUUGCAGCAUUAGUCACUGAGACUGAAUUGAAAGUGGCAGCUCAGGAUUCAAUUUCCAUGAAACUUGUAGGAACUUUAUUUCUUCAAGCCCUGCACCCCUCAGGUUUGAAACUGGUCGUUAAGCUUAAAAGGUGUUGGCUGGAAUAAGAGAAUGCCAGAUGGACAGAGGUCAGGAUCUCAUAAGCUUCAUCUCCUUUAGAAAUGAACAGCAAGAAGAAUAAACAAUGCUUCUGGUCUAAGUGUAUUUCUUACUGAUUAAAGACUGCGACGUGGAACGUGGCUAGAAUGAGUCAAACAGGAUGUUUACAGGGCACUUAGGUAAAAAAGAAUAAAAUGAUGCAGCAAGAAA